rnacentral:rRNA from 1 species
ACCUGACUGCUAUCGGAUUGAUACUAAGCCAUGCGAGUCAUUGUAGCAAUACAAGGCAUACGGCUCAGUAACGCGUAGUCAACCUAACCUAUGGACGGGAAUAACCUCGGGAAACUGAGAAUAAUGCCCGAUAGAACAUUAUGCCUGGAAUGGUUUAUGUUCCAAAUGAUUUAUCGCCAUAGGAUGGGACUGCGGCCUAUCAGUUUGUUGGUGAGGUAAUGGCCCACCAAGACUAUUGCAGGUACGGGCUCUGAGAGGAGUAGCCCGGAGAUGGGUACUGAGACACGGACCCAGGCCCUAUGGGGCGCGGCAGGCGAGAAAACUUUGCAAUGUGCGAAAGCACGACAAGGUUAAUCCGAGUGAUUUCUGCUAAAGAGAUCUUUUGUUAGUCCUAGAAACACUAACGAAUAAGGGGUGGGCAAGUUCUGGUGUCAGCCGCCGCGGUAAAACCAGCACCUUAAGUGGUCAGGAUGAUUAUUGGGCCUAAAGCAUCCGUAGCCGGCUCUGUAAGUUUUCGGUUAAAUCUGUACGCUCAACGUACAGGCUGCCGGGAAUACUGCAGAACUAGGGAGUGGGAGAGGUAGACGGUACUCGGUAGGAAGUGGUAAAAUGCUUUGAUCUAUCGAUGACCACCUGUGGCGAAGGCGGUCUACCAGAACACGUCCGACGGUGAGGGAUGAAAGCUGGGGGAGCAAACCGGAUUAGAUACCCGGGUAGUCCCAGCUGUAAACUAUGCAAACUCAGUGAUGCAUUGGCUUGUGGCCAAUGCAGUGCUGCAGGGAAGCCGUUAAGUUUGCCGCCUGGGAAGUACGUACGCAAGUAUGAAACUUAAAGGAAUUGGCGGGGGAGCACCACAAGGGGUGAAGCCUGCGGUUC